AUUGAACGCUGGCGGCAUGCCUUACACAUGCAAGUCGAACGGUAACAGGUUAAGCUGCCGAGUGGCGAACGGGUGAGUAAUGUAUCGGAACGUGCCCAGUCGUGGGGAUAACUGCUCGAAAGAGCAGCUAAUACCGCAUACGACCUGAGGGUGAAAGCGGGGGAUCGCAAGACCUCGCGCGAUUGGAGCGGCCGAUAUCAGAUUAGGUAGUUGGUGAGGUAAAGGCUCACCAAGCCGACGAUCUGUAGCUGGUCUGAGAGGACGACCAGCCACACUGGGACUGAGACACGGCCCAGACUCCUACGGGAGGCAGCAGUGGGGAAUUUUGGACAAUGGGCGCAAGCCUGAUCCAGCCAUGCCGCGUGCGGGAAGAAGGCCUUCGGGUUGUAAACCGCUUUUGUCAGGGAAGAAAAGGUUCUGGCUAAUACCUGGGACUCAUGACGGUACCUGAAGAAUAAGCACCGGCUAACUACGUG
rnacentral:rRNA from 1 species